AAUUUUUAUUUUCAUGAACCCCAUAAGUCAUGUAUUUUCCCUACUACAUAGGAGUUUAACCUCCCUUUAUUUGUUAAGGGCAUUGAGGCGCCUAACGUCCCAGUCAAAAUAUUAUUCAUGCUCCUGGAGCUGCAUAGCAGUGCCUGUGGACUCCUAGGUAUCUGAACUUCUGAUUCAACCCUUAUCAAGACUUGAAAGGCGUUUUUAGCUCACCCCUUAUUUCUGCACUAUGUCACUCUUAGUUGUUUUCAAAGGUGUAGCCCAUCUAGCAUUCGCCCUUUCACCUUGAUGUUGUUUCUCCUUUCCACUAUUCUUGUCUGCAUUUUCAUCUACUACACUAUUUUGUGUCUUUCCCCUUCCCUUUUAUCAAUUCUAAGUCCCAUUUGUGUACUCCUCUGUGUUGUCAUAGCUCUAACUGGUGCUUAUCCUUUUGGUUGCUCAUUACUUGGUUCCGCUAUGUUCCCCUCUUUUUCUUUUCUCUCAUUUACUGUAGGUAACGACCCAUUCUUCUUUCUACAUUGUGCCUCUGAAUGUCUAUACUUGUGGCACAUAGUACACAAUAUUGGUGUCCUUUGCAUUGUACUUGUUGUUCAAUAAAAUUAGCUUUUUCAUUUUUUAAUAUAAUUUUGUCUGGCAGAUUGGAGUCUACCUCCACCCCGAUGAGUAGUCUGGCGAAAUUGAGGCCUUGUUUCUUCUCUGUAUUGGGAUCAACCAUGAUAGGUUUUCCAAUCAAACUCUCUAUCUUUGUUAACCUUUUAUCACUCUAGUAUUUAAAAUCCAGACUGGUGAGUUUCACCUAAAUUGGCAAUUGUGUGUAAUGCCUCUCGUGUGAACUCCAUAUCUGUUUCAUAUGCUUUUACAAUAAGGUAUUUAAUAUCAAAGUGGUAUAUUCCAACUUGAAUGGCAUCAUUUUCCCCCAACAGUAUCGAAUCAAACCAGAAUUAUUCCAUUCUUAAACAUUGAAACCUUAUUGAUUCUUAAUAAUUGUGUUUGUCUCAAAAAUCAAAACAGAAAAAGAUAAGAUUCUGUUGAAUUUUACUUCUCUUCUACCUCUCAAAAUUCACAACUUUAUUCUUGGGGAAAACUCUAGUUUUCCUGGAUUUGGAUAUGAAUUGACUUUGUAAAAUUUUGAAUCUUUUUUGUACAAAGCUCAUGCAGCAAAAUAGUGUAGUCUAAGUUGCUUAAGAACAAAGAGUACUCUAUCAAAAUAGUCCUCUCCCAGAUUUUUUUUCUUUAACAAUCUUACAGAACUUAAAAUUAGUUUAUUACGGUGGUCUAUAAAGAGAAAAGUAGUGUUAGAAGCCCACAAAUAUUCCAGCGGAUGUAAAAGGUUGUGUUUAUUGGGUUUUGAAUUUUUUUCCUUUAUAAUGAAUAUUGUUCCAUAG
rnacentral:lncRNA from 1 species